rnacentral:rRNA from 1 species
CACUCCUACGGGAGGCAGCAGUGGGGAAUUUUGGACAAUGGGCGAAAGCCUGAUCCAGCCAUGCCGCGUGCAGGAUGAAGGCCUUCGGGUUGUAAACUGCUUUUGUACGGAACGAAACGGCCUUUUCUAAUAAAGAGGGCUAAUGACGGUACCGUAAGAAUAAGCACCGGCUAACUACGUGCCAGCAGCCGCGGUAAUACGUAGGGUGCAAGCGUUAAUCGGAAUUACUGGGCGUAAAGCGUGCGCAGGCGGUUAUGUAAGACAGUUGUGAAAUCCCCGGGCUCAACCUGGGAACUGCAUCUGUGACUGCAUAGCUAGAGUACGGUAGAGGGGGAUGGAAUUCCGCGUGUAGCAGUGAAAUGCGUAGAUAUGCGGAGGAACACCGAUGGCGAAGGCAAUCCCCUGGACCUGUACUGACGCUCAUGCACGAAAGCGUGGGGAGCAAACAGGAUUAGAUACCCCAGUAGUCCCAUGA